UUGAACUACCUCCCUUUUAAAUACCUUGAUUCGAUCCUUGAUUGAUAAGAAUUAUUAAAAUAAAUCAAGUUAACCUUGAUAAUAACCGAACAUGGGUGAAGAAUACUUUUGACAGGACGCAUACUUUUGAUCCGCUUGAAAAACUGCUACUCCGUGACUGUCCAAUGGCAUUAGUUUGUGGGUGAAGUUUUUUAAAUCUGCCAUAUUCAUAGUUGCAGCGAUUUAAGUGUUCAAAACUAUCAAACUGAAGCCUAUGAAGCUUAACAUUCGGACUGGCAGUACAGUUGGAAUCCCCUAUUAUAUUAAGAAUAUACUCGAAG